CCGGAAGGUUACUAAGACUGGAUAGGAAACAAAAAGGCAUCUUUUUGUUUUUAAAAGACCUUCUUACGAAGGUAUGCUUAAAGAGGGGCUUGCGCCACAUUAGUUAGUUGGUAGAGUAAAAGCCUACCAAGACGAUGAUGUGUAGCUGGACUGAGAGGUUGAACAGCCACAUUGGGACUGAGACACGGCCCAAACUCCUACGGGAGGCAGCAGUAGGGAAUUUUCGGCAAUGGAGGAAACUCUGACCGAGCAACGCCGCGUGAACGAUGAAGUAUUUCGGUAUGUAAAGUUCUUUUAUUGAAGAAGAAAAAGUAGUGGAAAAACUAUAUUGACGUUAUUCAAUGAAUAAGCCCCGGCUAACUAUGUGCCAGCAGCCGCGGUAAGACAUAGGGGGCGAGCGUUAUCCGGAAUUGUUGGGCGUAAAGGGUGCGUAGGCUGUUAGAUAAGUCUAUAAUUUAAUUUCGGUGCUUCAACGCUGUCUUGUUAUAGAAACUGUUUUUGACUAGAGUGAGAUAGAGGCAAAGCGGAAUUCCAUGUGUAGCGGUAAAAUGUGUAAAUAUAUGGAGGGAACACCCGAAGCGUAGGCGGCUUGCUGGGUCUUUACUGACGCUGAGGCACGAAAGCGUGGGUAGCAAACAGGAUUAGAUACCCUGGUAGUCCACGCCGUAAACGAUGAGUACUAAGUGUCGGGGUAAAACUCGGUACUGAAGUUAACACAUUAAGUACUCCGCCUGAGUAGUACGUACGCAAGUAUGAAACUUAAAGGAAUUGACGGGACUCCGCACAAGCGGUGGAUCAUGUUGUUUAAUUUGAAGAUACACGAAAAAUCUUACCAGGUCUUGACAUACUCUGCAAAGCUAUAGAAAUAUAGUGGAGGUUAUCAGGGAUACAGGUGGUGCAUGGUUGUCGUCAGUUCGUGUCGUGAGAUGUUAGGUUAAGUCCUAAAACGAACGCAACCCUUGUCGUUAAUUGCCAGCACAUAAUGGUGGGGACUUUAACGAGACUGCCAAUUAAACAUUGGAGGAAGGUGAGGAUUACGUCAAAUCAUCAUGCCCCUUAUGAUCUGGGCUACAAACGUGAUACAAUGGCUGUGACAAAGAGUAGCUGAAACGCGAGUUUUUAGCCAAUCUCAAAAAAGCAGUCUCAGUUCGGAUUGAAGUCUGUAACUCGACUUCAUGAAGUUGGAAUCGCUAGUAAUCGCGAAUCAGCAUGUCGCGGUGAAUACGUUCUCGGGGUUUGUACACACCGCCCGUCAAACCACGAAAGUUAGCAAUGCCCGAAAGCAGUAGCUUAACUUCGCAAGAAGAGGGAACCUGUCUAAGGUAGGGUUGAUGAUUGGGGUUAAGUCGUAACCAAGGUUUCCCU
rnacentral:rRNA from 1 species